ACCCUAACAGUCAAAGAGAUUAUUCAUUUACAUAUAGUCUCACUGACUAUAUGUAAAUGAAUAAUCUCUUUGACUGUUAGGGUUAUCUACU
rnacentral:miRNA from 1 species